GAUGAACGCUGGCGGCGUGCCUAAUACAUGCAAGUCGAGCGAACAGACGAGGAGCUUGCUCCUCUGACGUUAGCGGCGGACGGGUGAGUAACACGUGGAUAACCUACCUAUAAGACUGGGAUAACUUCGGGAAACCGGAGCUAAUACCGUAUAACAUGUUGAACCGCAUGGUUCAACAGUGAAAGACGGUCUUGCUGUCACUUAUAGAUGGAUCCGCGCCGCAUUAGCUAGUUGGUAAGGUAACGGCUUACCAAGGCAACGAUGCGUAGCCGACCUGAGGGGGUGAUCGGCCACACUGGAACUGAGACACGGUCCAGACUCCUACGGGAGGCAGCAGUAGGGAAUCUUCCGCAAUGGGCGAAAGCCUGACGGAGCAACGCCGCGUGAGUGAAGAAGGUCUUCGGAUCGUAAAACUCUGUUAUUAGGGAAGAACAAAUGUGUAAGUAACUAUGCACGUCUUGACGGUACCUAAUCAGAAAGCCACGGCUAACUACGUG
rnacentral:rRNA from 1 species